rnacentral:rRNA from 1 species
GACGAACGCUGGCGGCGUGCUUAACACAUGCAAGUCGAACGGAAAGGCCCUGCUUUUGUGGGGUGCUCGAGUGGCGAACGGGUGAGUAACACGUGAGUAACCUGCCCUUGACUUUGGGAUAACUUCAGGAAACUGGGGCUAAUACCGGAUAGGAGCUCCUGCUGCAUGGUGGGGGUUGGAAAGUUUCGGCGGUUGGGGAUGGACUCGCGGCUUAUCAGCUUGUUGGUGGGGUAGUGGCUUACCAAGGCGUUGACGGGUAGCCGGCCUGAGAGGGUGACCGGCCACAUUGGGACUGAGACACGGCCCAGACUCCUACGGGAGGCAGCAGUGGGGAAUAUUGCACAAUGGGCGGAAGCCUGAUGCAGCAACGCCGCGUGCGGGAUGACGGCCUUCGGGUUGUAAACCGCUUUCGCCUGUGACGAAGCGUGAGUGACGGUAAUGGGUAAAGAAGCACCGGCUAACUACGUG